GUAUAAGAGACAGCAGUCGCCGCGGGAAUACGAAGGGUGCAAGCGUUACUCGGAAUUACUGGGCGUAAAGCGUGCGUAGGUGGUGGUUUAAGUCCGUUGUGAAAUCCCCGGGCUCAACCUGGGAAUGGCAGUGGAUACUGGCAAGCUAGAGUGUGUCAGAGGAUGGUGGAAUUCCCGGUGUAGCGGUGAAAUGCGUAGAGAUCGGGAGGAACAUCAGUGGCGAAGGCGGCCAUCUGGGACAACACUGACGCUGAGGCACGAAAGCGUGGGGAGCAAACAGGAUUAGAUACCCCUGUAGUCCCUGUCUCUUAUAC
rnacentral:rRNA from 1 species